GAUGAACGCUGGCGGCGUGCCUAAUACAUGCAAGUCGAGCGAACAGACGAGGAGCUUGCUCCUCUGACGUUAGCGGCGGACGGGUGAGUAACACGUGGAUAACCUACCUAUAAGACUUGGAUAACUUCGGGAAACCGGAGCUAAUACCGGAUAAUAUAUUGAACCGCAUGGUUCAAUAGUUAAAGACGGUUUUGCUGUCACUUAUAGAUGGAUCCGCGCCGCAUUAGCUAGUUGGUAAGGUAACGGCUUACCAAGGCAACGAUGCGUAGCCGACCUGAGAGGGUGAUCGGCCACACUGGAACUGAGAAACGGUCCAGACUCCUAAGGGAGGCAGCAGUAGGGAAUCUUCCGCAAUGGGCGAAAGCUUGACGGAGCAAAGACGCGUGAGUGAUGAAGGGCUUCGGAUCGUAAAACUCUGUUAUUAGGGAAGAACAAAUGUGUAAGUAACUAUGCACGGCUUGAAGGUACCUAAUCAGAAAGCCACGGCUAACUACGUG
rnacentral:rRNA from 1 species